rnacentral:lncRNA from 1 species
AUGCCAGAGGCUCUAUUUCCUAGCAUUUUACAGCUCCUAUAACUGUAGAAUGGUUGUAGGUCACAGGUAUAACCAAUGAAAACACAACCUAAGAUACAAAUCAGGAGCUACUGAUGCAAAGAAUGGGGACCAGGAGGAAGAGUUUCUUCGAGACCUGGUGGUUGAAGAGCAGUGGAUCAUUCUUGGCUGUGGUGGGAGAGGUGCUGAACGUUGUUCACGCUGGCUAUGUCAUGAGUGGAAUCUAUGGCGUCAAGGCUAGAGCUGGAGGGAAUGGGCUCCCCAUUGAGGUGAUGGACUUCAUCCCUGGUGCUAUUCAAGCAGUGGCUGUGGGCUUCCAGUCAGGGAUGCAGUGAAUGAGCCUCUUAUACCAGAGAAGGAUGGAUAGAGAAAAGCAUCAUUACAAAAGUGAAAUGUGUGAAUUUUAUUCUGGCUUUGAACAUUGAGUAGACGAAGAAGACAAUUCCAGACGGAGGAAACUCCACAAGAAAUAUCAUGGAAAUUUGAAAGAACACAGUGGGCUUGGGAAGAGAGAUCUCAGUGGUGGAAGCACCAUCAUCCCAAGGAGACUUAGGACAUUAUUUGAAGAGAGUUUUCCCCUGAGGAAAGUGCUUCAGAGGAGAAAAUACACCAGAAAAAGACAAGGCCCUGCUCUGAGGAGUGAAGACACAAUCCAGCAGGCAGGAGGGAUGGCUAAGUUCAAAGUCUUGAGAAGUGCCCCUCAUGGACACCCCAGGGUGCCCAUCUCCAGGUUACCACCAGGUGCUUCCAAGACCAAGAUAACCAGGCAAUCAUAGUAGAUGCAUCAAUGCACCCUUGCCCAAGGGCCUAGACAAGAGGUAUUGUUUAGCUUCGCAUGAAUUUUAUCACCUUGCCUAGAACCAGCCACCAUCUGCCAGGGCUCCUGACUUUUUCUGAAAUGAAUAGACACUAAAGCCUGCUGGGGAAUUUCAUGGAAAUCAAGAUGACUCAACCCAGAGUCCAUUUCAAGGCUAGGAUGCUAGAGGACGCCAACAAAGGAGUAGGGAAGUGAAACGGAUCAGCUCACAUCCAAGCCCUUGCAUGAUCAAUCCUGCAGUAGGAGUGCUGCUCAGUUGGGACUCAUGAGAGCCCGGAAGAGGAAAAAGCAGCUCUAAGCAUAGCAAAGAAGCUGUUAUGGAAAAGACCCAAAUGUUAAAAUGGUGGACAUAGUAAAGUGAUUGGUUCUGCUUAGGGGAAUCUAGAUCCCCACAUUUUGACCUCCACUGGAGUCUCAGAAGAACAAGUGCCAGGGGGGCUUGCCACAGAGGCCAAGGCAGUGAAUGUCAGGCACAUCACAGUCCCCAAGAUGGGGAGAAGACUGAGAUGCAGGGUAACAACUGCAAUCCAUUCAUGGGAGCCAUGUUUAUCUUAAAUCAUUGACAGUGAGAUAAGGAUCAUGUCAGCCUUCAUACCUUUGAUGAUGAUCCCAGGCUGCAACAGUGACACAUAGAACUGGAUUCAGUAACUAACUACAGAUUCCAUCAACCAGGACUAGUAAAGUGAAAGGCAGAAAUUGGGAGGAGGGGUUUCUUUCUUGCUUAUAAAACUUUAUUUGGUUGUGUUGAGUAUGUGCAUGUAUGUAUGAAAUCCCAUAAAGCAGUCUUCUUAGGAACAAGCCAACAUGCCACAAUGUAGGAGAUCUUUGGAGCACUGGCCUAAAUGGCAGAGAGCUCAAGGGACUCUGCUUUGUACAAGGCAUGAUUUGUACCACCACCACUAUCCCUGUUUCAGAGCACUGUUGAAUUGUUCCAAACCUGGAUUUCUAUGUCAGCUCCCUGUCUAUAGUACUUGACUGAUAAAUGCUAGUUUCUGAAAUCUGCUUUGGUUCUAUAAUUUAUUAGACAGCUUUUUCUUCCCAUUUUAUUACUUGUUUUUACUGUCAUUGGUAUAUUAUCUCUUACAGUGAAAACAUUCAUAGGCUGAUUGAAGAGAAGAUCUGAAAUUAUUAGGCAGCAAGCAUACAAAACCCUUGCUUUAUAAAGAUAAUAUCUUAAAGGCCUAAUGUCUAUGGUUCAAAGCAGCCUGGAGAUGUUGGCUAAAUCUUCCAUCAUAGAGUCCUCAUGGGAUCUGGAAGCUCUGAUUUAUCUUCCU